GACGAACGCUGGCGGCGUGCUUAACACAUGCAAGUCGAACGGAAAGGCCCUGCCUUUGUGGGGUGCUCGAGUGGCGAACGGGUGAGUAACACGUGAGUAACCUGCCCUUCACUUUGGGAUAACUUCAGGAAACUGGGGCUCAUACCGGAUAGGAGCUCCUGCUGCAUGGUGGGGGUUGGAAAGUUUCGGCGGUUGGGGAUGGACUCGCGGCUUAUCAGCUUGUUGGUGGGGUAGUGGCUUACCAAGGCCUUGACGGGUAGCCGGCCUGAGAGGGUGACCGGCCACAUUGGGACUGAGAUACGGCCCAGACUCCUACGGGAGGCAGCAGUGGGGAAUAUUGCACAAUGGGCGGAAGCCUGAUGCAGCAACGCCGCGUGCGGGAUGACGGCCUUCGGGUUGUAAACCGCUUUCGCCUGUGACGAAGCGUGAGUGACGGUAAUGGGUAAAGAAGCACCGGCUAACUACGUG
rnacentral:rRNA from 1 species